CUGUAAGGUGUCAUGAUGGUGUCCCGCAGUCAAGAUAAGGCCCUCCCUCACAGUAAGGUGUCAUGAUGGUGUCCCGCAGUCAGGAUAAGGACCUGCCUCACUGUUAGAUGUCAUGAUGGUGUCCCGCAGUCAAGAUAAGGCCCUGCCUCACCGUAAGGUGUCAUGAUGGUGUCCAGCAGUCAAGAUAAGGCCCUGUCUCACUGUAAGGUGUCAUGAUGGUGUCCCGCAGUCAAGAUAAGGCCCUGCCUCACCGUAAGGUGUAAUGAUGGUGUGCUGCAGUCAAGAUAAGGCCCUGCCUCACUGUAAGGUGUCAUGAUGGUG